UUGCCACUGAAGGGUCCUAGAACAGGACGAAACAAUUGUCCAAUAA
rnacentral:hammerhead_ribozyme from 1 species